GUCACAUCUCUAGUUAGAGUUUAAUGGCCUGAGGUUAAUUGUUUCUGACUGGUUACGCUUUAAUUUCAUUCUCCUGUUUACAUUAAGUUGGAUUUGGCUUUGCUUUUGUAUGAACCCAAGGCACUGGAGCUGUUCUAAAGGCUUCCCAUGAAUCAUCUUAACACACUGGUGAGCUCAAUGCACCACUCAAUCAUCUUUCUUCCAGUGCAUCUAGGAAUUUCAUCUGGGAAAUUAAUGUCUGAUCCUACUAGGGAAAUUUGAAACAACCACUAUAAAAUGCUAAAAUCCCCCCCUCCCUGAAUGAUUUAAUGGACAGUGCAUAUGCAUGAAGUUUAGAACAGAUCUGCCCAAUAGGACUUUUUGAAGGAUGGAAAUGUUCCAUAUCUGGACUGUCCAAUAUGGUAACCAGUAGCCCCAUAUGGGCACUGAGAAAAUGAAUUAUAGCUGUUACAACUGGGGAACUAGAUUUUAAACUAUGUGAGUUUUUUCUUUUUAUUUAAUAUGAAUUAGAACAAUUCUAUUGAACUAAAAUUUACAUACCACACAAUUUACAAAUGUAAAAUGUAGGAUUCAAUAGGUUUUAGGACAUUGACAGAGUUGUACAACUAUACUACAAUCAAAUUUAAGUUAUUUUUGAUAUCCCAAAGCAAACCACUGUAUCCACUAGCUAUGAUCUCUCAAUUUCUCCCCUCUACAUCUAGGCAACUGAGAAUAGCACUGAGCUGUUCUUUACCAUCACAGAUUUUCCUAUUCUGGAAAUCUCUUUUUUGUUGUUGUUGUUCAAAAUAGACUAUGCUUAUAACAACGAUAAAGAUCUAAACUAUGCAAAAUUUAAUCAUUUUAAAUUUAAAAUUAAAUUUGGCCAUAAUCUCUACAAAUUACAUGCAUUAGAGCCUGGUAAACAUGAUAAGAUACUGAAUAAAUCCCACUAGUGAGGAAAAUGUGGUAACAUUUUCAGAAAAGUUAUAACUAUUCAUUCAAUUAUUUUCUCUAGCCCCCAAGACUAGUAACAUCUUUGUAAGUUGCAUUUGAUCUUACUUCUGUUGGUCUGAAUCCUAUAUCCCAGCAAAGAGAUGAAAGGAAAGAAAAUGCUAACUCAUAAAGUGAUGCAUUUAGGCUGAGGUUUGGAGCAAGACAACGAGCAGAACAACCUGAAUUGUUUCGAGGCAGUCCAUGAGCUAGGCAACAAGAAGUUACCAGGUGUGAGAAUGGGAACACCUGGCAAAACAGUGCCGAUCCUCAUUGUGAGCAGAGCCAGUGCUCUGGCAUUCCUUCCUUCCUUCCUUCAUCUAUUCAUCCAACAGUGACGAAGUCUCUACUCCAGAUACAUCAUAUCCUGGGAUAAUGAAAAGAUUCGUGGAAACUCAAAAGAUCAAGAAGAUCCACUGAAUCAGAAACUAGGAAUGCAGUACAGCAAACUAGAUUUUAACCAAGGCUUCUAUGGGAUUCUGGUGCUCGUGAAGGUUGGAGAGUCCUUGUCCUACUACCACUCCUUGGAUUCUCAUUGGUAAAAGCUGGAGAUCUUUCUCAGCCCGAGGCUCUGGGGAAGAUUCCUGGAGCAUGAGGUAGGGAGGAAAUACAGGAGAGCCAAUGCCCCUACCCAGCGGAAUUUGAACUCUAAAGUAAAAAAUACAACCUCAUUAGUUUUUCAAUUUUUUAGUGUUUAUUUUUAAGGGGGCCUGGAGAACAGAGGUAGGACCAACAUACAGAGGCUAAAUGGUAGAUGGUUUCUAGUGAGGAAAGAAGUAAUAAAGUAACAGUGAAUGGUGUUUGAUGGUGCUAUAGUGAGUGGACUUCUUCCAGAGCCCCGAAUCUUUAUCACUAGAGGGAAAGAAAUGGCAGGUAUUUUGGAGUCAAAAGUCCUGAGCAGGUCAGAGGAAGCUGAGAGGUUGGCUAGUGUUACCUUCUCCGUCUUAAAGUGCUGACUUCCACAACUCUCAGCUUCUGUGUAUUCUCAUGGUUGAUGCCUUUGUGUUCACAUAGUUCAUACCAAUCUCUAUCAGCUCCUCUUAGGAAACGAAGGUGGGACCCAGCAUUUUUGGGAAUUGCAACCCAUUGAAUAGAAGAAUUCAGGAGCUCUAGAAUUUUUUCCUAGCAAGGAGCAAGUUGAAGAUGGACUUACAGCCCUUUACUGAGUGCCCAGUGCUGGCUGCUAGAUUUCCCAAUUUCUGAUGACCUGAAUGGAGGGAGGAAAUGUGGUUAAGGAGUUUAAUCCCAACCCAGCCACUGACUGUGUGAUUUGGACAGUUGGUUCUCACUGCCUGGCACCCUCAUCUAUAAACAGGGAGAAUCAAAUUUGUGAAUGCAGAUCGGGAGCUGUCAUCAAUGUCAAAGGAAGGGACAAGGAUAUCAAAGUAUAUGUAAUCCCAGCUUCUCUUCUUCCUAGGAGGAUUUUGUAUUUCAGAUUUUUUUGCUCAGAGUAAGAUUGCAGAAAAAAGGAAAUGAGACUACUACAGAAGAACAUUAUGGAGCCGAAGUUGUAGAAGAGAUGAAGAGGAAGGCUAGUAUUUGAAGGGACCAGAGCAGCAGAGAGGCUGAAAGCAUGAUGGGAGCUUUGGGGAGGACAGUAGAGAGCCUUUUAGGCAGUUUGCUUUGUGCUGUGUGAAAUGAUUUUCCCCUGGUUUCCUCUGCAAAUGACUUCAGGAAAACACUGGCUCAAGGAUCUUGAGGUCAGAUGUACUAUAUGAUGUCUUUGCAUUGGGUAUUAGCCUCAAAGCUCUGGCAAUAAGGCCUACCUAAAUUCAACAACCUUCUUAUUUGCUAACAAAAUCAAUCUAAGCCUUGUAGAUCUGUCUGGGGGUUACAGUUGUCCAAGAUCAGCCCUUUCUCAUUGUCCAUCUCCUCAAUUUAUUUUUCAAUUUUUAACAAUAAAUAUGGACCACUUAUAAAAGAUUAUUUGAAACAUUUCCAGGCCAGGGUCAACCAGUUGCUCAUCAGUGACAGGAGAUGGAGCAAAGUUCUGAGGCAAGACGCACUUUACACACUGGGUCACACAGAAGAAAUGGCUGGGGAAGAUCUAUGUCAAACCUGGAUGUGUGGCCUUGCUGUAGAUUGCUGGCAAUGAAUGUUGCCAUGGUCUGCAAAGGCCUGCAGGGAGAGGAGUUUACAGGAUCAGCUCAGAAAGAUUGCUAGGCACAGGUGGGUUUUUUUUUUUUUUUCAAAAUCCCAUCCAAAAGCAUUUACUUUAAUAAAUAUACUGAGAUGAAAUAAUAAUCAUGUCACUGGUGCAUAAGAAGGAUAAUAAGAUAUUAAUAUACAGCCCAAAUAAAUUCAACUCCCUUUGAGAGAAAUAGCUAACUUGCCAAUAUGUAUGAAUCAAUUUAACUUACAAAGGGAGAAGAGUUGUUCGUUGGAGUACACUGAGAGUAGUGAUUAAUAGACUGCCAAUUCUAAUAUGAAUUUUGUUUCUGUCCCAGGGAGGGUUUAAAAUUCAUUGUAUUUUUAGGCAUACAAUUCUUCUACACCUAUUUUUUUUCAAUUUUAAACUUUAUAGGUUCUCUCUGUGAAAAAAGAAAAAAUGAGGGAAGGGUUGAAAGUGAAAUGUAAAACCUUGCAAACCUUCCUUUUUAAUGUGUGUAAGCAUAUAAAUACUUAGGCAUUUAAAUAGUAAGAUUAUGUUUUACACAUUGUGUUUGUAACUUGGGGUUUUUGAUGCUCGUUAAUUGAUUUAAUAGCUUUUUCCUGAGUAUCUAUUAGGCCCAUGGCAUUUUAUUAGGCUCUGAGGGGUAGCAUGGGGCUAUUCUCAGAGGUCAGAGUUUAGGGGAGGAGGAAAGAGAAUAAGUAGGUAAAUAAGCAUACAGUUGUAAACACAUACACAAUGUCUACUGUAUACAUUAUGUAAUUACGCUUUUCAAAGCACGCUGAUAGGAAGGAGAAGAAGUGGGAGGCAGAACAAUGAGCAGGUUAUAUUCAGUAAAAGGAGCCAUGGAUACUGCUCUGAGAAGGUGACACAGAAGGCAGGACCCAAGGACAAGUCACAAGACAGCCUUAGCGCAAGAAGGUAGAGUUUCAAUCAGAUAUGUUACACUAAAUAAAAACCCAAUUUGGCUGACACUACACCUCCCUUGCAAAAGAGGAAACUGAGGCUCAGGGAGUCUGAGGAGCCUUUUCAAAGCCACACAUUAACUUCUGCAAGAGUUCGCAUAGGUUUUAUGUUCAGUCAUCAAGUUGCUAAACAAUUGAGCUUUAUCCCAAAGCUUCAAUGGUAGACUUCAAGUGGAAUGCAUUAUCUGCUUAUAAAAGUCACACUGAUUAUUGUCAACUUUAUCAUCAUUGUCAUUGUCACUGUCAUCACCAUCAGCAGCAGCUAAAGCUAGCAAAGGCUCUACUAGCCAUGCAGGAGCCAGCAGCACACAAAAAGCCAAACUCCCUCUUGCCUAUGACCCAUCUGUCAGUGGAGCCCUCUGUGAAUGGAUGCUGGAUGCCGGUGAGCAUUUGCAUUUGGUUGUUCAUUCCACAUUUUUGCCCUUUCAGCCCUUCCCAUAAGCAUGUAUAAGGGAUACAAAGCCAUUUUAAUGCACAAAUGGCCAGGGGGUGCCUCUGGUUUUGGUAUCUAUUUAUAUCCAUAUAGCCAGAUGGAAAUCUAUCCUUAAGGUCCUAACAUGCACUAUUAAAGGAGAAAAACAAAAGCCACCAGGUCAAAGCAUGAGUCCCAGUGGGAAGUUAUUAGGAUCAUGGUGGUAUUACUCCAAGUCUGGUCCAUCAUUAUACAUGAAUCGUCAGUGCAUAUUGGGUAAGGCAAAGGGGAGCAGAGCAUUCCACUCUGAGGCUGUAUGUAUGCAUGUGUGUGUGUGUGUGUGCGCGCGCGCGCAUGUGUGCAAUUUUUUUACAGAACCAUAAUAAUGGGAAUUUAUUGAUCAUCUGUAUAUGCCUAAACCUUUGAAGAAGGCAGUAGGUUUAAAUAGAAUAAAGAGAACAAGCUGGAGUUUGAAGGUCUAUAUCAAGAAUGUUUGAGAUUCAUUCCUAAAACUUACUAUAUAAGCAAUUCUAAUAACAUAAAUGAUAUUAAAUAUUUAAGAAUGUAAAGAAUUGGAGAAGAUUACCUUUAUCAGGUAAGCAUUCCAAUGGAGAAAUUUAGGCAACUUUUAUUAAUUAAAUUUCUUAAAGUCUUAUUUUUUUUCUGUGACUCUUAGCUAAGCAGUUAGCUGAGUGCAUAGUAGGAUAUAAAUAAAAAUAAAUAGUAAUAACUUUUUAUGAAGGGGAAAAACCCAGUGAGUUUACAACUGUGUUGAGAUUUCUUGCCUCAAAUCUUCCACAAAAUUUUGUUAAGAAAUCUAUUUCAGACCACUGCUGAUUUAUAGAGUCCUUUCUCCUAUUGUAAUUUAUUUCUCCUUUCUCCAUGUUUAAGUGGUAUGGAAUAUCUAUGAAGAAUUGAAAUAAGCACACACAUCAUUAUGUUCAUUUCUAAUGCAUUAAAACUCAGCU
rnacentral:lncRNA from 1 species